rnacentral:tRNA from 1 species
UGGGUAAUUAACUCAGUGGCAGGAUGUUUCGUUUACAACGAAAAGGCCAAAGGUUCAAUCACUUUAUCAUCUAU